GCCUCUUUGGCUCAGUUGGUUAGAGCGCCAGUCUCAUACCUUAGUUAGGUUUGAUCCUUAAACUUAAGGAAUAAUCUGGAGGUCGAAAGUUCGAACCUUUCAAGGGGCA